rnacentral:rRNA from 1 species
AGCGUACACGGUGGAUGCCCUGGCAGUCAGAGGCGAUGAAGGACGUGCUAAUCUGCGAUAAGCGUCGGUGAGGUGAUAUGAACCGUUAUAACCGGCGAUUUCCGAAUGGGGAAACCCAGUGUGUUUCGACACACUAUCAUUAACUGAAUCCAUAGGUUAAUGAGGCGAACCGGGGGAACUGAAACAUCUAAGUACCCCGAGGAAAAGAAAUCAACCGAGAUUCCCCCAGUAGCGGCGAGCGAACGGGGAGGAGCCCAGAGCCUGAAUCAGUGUGUGUGUUAGUGGAAGCGUCUGGAAAGGCGUGCGAUACAGGGUGACAGCCCCGUACACAAAAAUGCACAUAUUGUGAGCUCGAUGAGUAGGGCGGGACACGUGGUAUCCUGUCUGAAUAUGGGGGGACCAUCCUCCAAGGCUAAAUACUACCUGACGACCGAUAGUGAACCAGUACCGUGAGGGAAAGGCGAAAAGAACCCCAGUAAGGGGAGUGAAAAAGAAUCUGAAACCGUGUGCGUACAAGCAGUGGGAGCCCGAAAGGGUGACUGCGUACCUUUUGUAUAAUGGGUCAGCGAGUUAUCUGUAUUAGCGAGGUUAACUUUGAUGAGGGAGCCGUAGGGAAACCGAGUCUUAAUAGGGCGAGAAGUUGAUGCAGGUAGACCCGAAACCGAGUGAUCUAGUCCUGGACAGGCUGAAAGCAGGGUAACACCUGCCGGAGGGCCGAACCUACUGUCGUUGCAAAGCCAGAGGAUGAUCUGGGACUAGGGGUGAAAGGCCAAUCAAACCCGGUGAUAGCUGGUUCUCCCCGAAAGCUAUUUAGGUAGCGUCCUGCAGGGGCGUAUGGGGGUAGAGCACUGUUAUAGGAAGGGGUUCAUUGCGAACUACCGACCUAUUGCAAACUACGAAUACCAUACAGUUGUAAGCAGGGGACACACAGUGGGUGCUAACGUUCAUUGUGAAGAGGGAAACAACCCGGACCGCCAGCUAAGGUCCCAAAGUUCUGAUUAAGUGGGAAACGAUGUGGGAAGGCAUAGACAGCCAGGAUGUUGGCUUAGAAGCAGCCAUCAUUUAAAGAAAGCGUAAUAGCUCACUGGUCGAGUCGGCCUGCGCGGAAGAUGUAACGGGGCUAAACCAUGCACCGAAGCUGCGGCAGCGACACUAUGUGUUGUUGGGUAGGGGAGCGUUCUGUAAGCCUGUGAAGGUGGCCUGUGAGGGUUGCUGGAGGUAUCAGAAGUGCGAAUGCUGACAUAAGUAACGAUAAAGCGGGUGAAAAGCCCGCUCGCCGGAAGACCAAGGGUUCCUGUCCAACGUUAAUCGGGGCAGGGUGAGUCGACCCCUAAGGCGAGGCCGAAAGGCGUAGUCGAUGGGAAACAGGUUAAUAUUCCUGUACUUGGUGUUACUGCGAAGGGGGGACGGAGAAGGCUAUGUUGGCCGGGCGACGGUUGUCCCGGUUUAAGCGUGUAGGCUGGUUUUCCAGGCAAAUCCGGAAAACCAAGGCUGAGGCGUGAUGACGAGGCACUACGGUGCUGAAGUGACAAAUGCCCUGCUUCCAGGAAAAGCCUCUAAGCAUCAGGUAACAUCAAAUCGUACCCCAAACCGACACAGGUGGUCAGGUAGAGAAUACCAAGGCGCUUGAGAGAACUCGGGUGAAGGAACUAGGCAAAAUGGUGCCGUAACUUCGGGAGAAGGCACGCUGAUAUGUAGGUGAAGCGACUUGCUCGUGGAGCUGAAAUCAGUCGAAGAUACCAGCUGGCUGCAACUGUUUAUUAAAAACACAGCACUGUGCAAACACGAAAGUGGACGUAUACGGUGUGACGCCUGCCCGGUGCCGGAAGGUUAAUUGAUGGGGUUAGCGGUAACGCGAAGCUCUUGAUCGAAGCCCCGGUAAACGGCGGCCGUAACUAUAACGGUCCUAAGGUAGCGAAAUUCCUUGUCGGGUAAGUUCCGACCUGCACGAAUGGCGUAAUGAUGGCCAGGCUGUCUCCACCCGAGACUCAGUGAAAUUGAACUCGCUGUGAAGAUGCAGUGUACCCGCGGCAAGACGGAAAGACCCCGUGAACCUUUACUAUAGCUUGACACUGAACAUUGAGCCUUGAUGUGUAGGAUAGGUGGGAGGCUUUGAAGUGUGGACGCCAGUCUGCAUGGAGCCGACCUUGAAAUACCACCCUUUAAUGUUUGAUGUUCUAACGUUGGCCCGUAAUCCGGGUUGCGGACAGUGUCUGGUGGGUAGUUUGACUGGGGCGGUCUCCUCCUAAAGAGUAACGGAGGAGCACGAAGGUUGGCUAAUCCUGGUCGGACAUCAGGAGGUUAGUGCAAUGGCAUAAGCCAGCUUGACUGCGAGCGUGACGGCGCGAGCAGGUGCGAAAGCAGGUCAUAGUGAUCCGGUGGUUCUGAAUGGAAGGGCCAUCGCUCAACGGAUAAAAGGUACUCCGGGGAUAACAGGCUGAUACCGCCCAAGAGUUCAUAUCGACGGCGGUGUUUGGCACCUCGAUGUCGGCUCAUCACAUCCUGGGGCUGAAGUAGGUCCCAAGGGUAUGGCUGUUCGCCAUUUAAAGUGGUACGCGAGCUGGGUUUAGAACGUCGUGAGACAGUUCGGUCCCUAUCUGCCGUGGGCGCUGGAGAACUGAGGGGGGCUGCUCCUAGUACGAGAGGACCGGAGUGGACGCAUCACUGGUGUUCGGGUUGUCAUGCCAAUGGCACUGCCCGGUAGCUAAAUGCGGAAGAGAUAAGUGCUGAAAGCAUCUAAGCACGAAACUUGCCCCGAGAUGAGUUCUCCCUGACUCCUUGA